rnacentral:rRNA from 1 species
UACGGAGGGUGCUAGCGUUGUCCGGAUUUACUGGGCGUAAAGGGCGCGUAGGCGGUCAGCACAAGUCAGUUGUGAAAUCUCCGGGCUUAACUCGGAAAGGUCAACUGAUACUGUGCGACUAGAGUGCAGAAGGGGCAACUGGAAUUCUCGGUGUAGCGGUGAAAUGCGUAGAUAUCGAGACGAACACCUGCGGCGAAGGCGGGUUGCUGGGCUGACACUGACGCUGAUGCGCGAAAGCCAGGGGAGCGAACGGG